AGGACGAACGCUGGCGGCGUGCCUAACACAUGCAAGUGGAGCGACGAACCAGGCUUCGGCCUGGGGCAGAGCCGCGAACGGGUGAGUAACACGUGGGUAACCUGCCCUGAUGAUUGGGACAACCCGAGGAAACUCGGGCUAAUACCAAAUGUGCCCUCCGGCCUCAAGGCCUGUGGGGAAAGGAAGCUUCGGCCUCCGCAUCGGGAUGGGCCCGCGGCCCAUUAGCUUGUUGGUGAGGUAAUGGCUCACCAAGGCUACGAUGGGUAGCUGGUCUGAGAGGACGAUCAGCCACACUGGGACUGAGACACGGCCCAGACUCCUACGGGAGGCAGCAGUGGGGAAUCUUGCGCAAUGCGCGAAAGCGUGACGCAGCAACGCCGCGUGGGGGAAGAAGGCCUUCGGGUUGUAACCCCUUUCAGUUGGAACGAAGCUUCGCCGGUGAACAGCCGGCUGGAGUGACGGUACCUUCGAGAAGAAGCCCGGCUAACUACGUGCCAGCAGCCGCGGUAAC
rnacentral:rRNA from 1 species